rnacentral:lncRNA from 7 species
CACAGGUGCUCCAGGACCUUAAUCAUCUUUCUGGCCCAGACUGGACUGUCCUAGUGUCACUGAGUGAAGCACUGAUAUUCUUUAUUUGAAUAUAAUCUUUUAUAAUCUUAGACACUGUUCAAUUGAGGGGAGAGUAAAGCAUGAGCAAUUGAAAAAAUAUAUGCCUGGACUUCAAAAUUAAAUCUGAAAACUGUAAUUCUUCAGAUGGGGAUCAUGUAACUAUCAAGUCUGCAUUUCUGCUCUGCUGAGAAGACCUUUGUACCUAUGAAGAGCCUGCAAAGCCUAAUGAGAAGAUAGAUCUAGGGAUUCAAGCUUGGGAACUGGAUAAAAACAGUUAUAGAGACGGUGAUGUUUCAGAGUCUAGCAUUUCUGUUACAAAGACUCACAGUAAGUACAAAGACAUCUUUGAUUUCCUGAGUAUUUGAGCUUGUGGAAGCAAGAAGCAGGAACAAGAGAUUUCUAAAGUAAUCCAGUUGCAAGCUUUUGAAAUACUACUUCAUUGCUUUUUUUGAGAUGUUGUAACACUAUAGGACUAUUCCUUUACUCUUACAGCAUUACAAUUUCAGAACUGUCAGCUGACAUCUGGAUUUUAGCAUAUGUAGUUCAGACAUUGUAAUUUUAGUAACUGGUAAGGAUACUUUUCAAGGGAUUACAGCCCCCUAAACCUCACCAGGUGUUUGAUUAGUGUAAAAGGGUUUAUAAGGCUGUAAUAAACAAUAUUCUUU